AUCACAUCUUGACUCUUGGCUAAGAUCAAGCACGGUAUUUGUUCUCAUCCGUUUAAUAUCUGGUAUGUCUUUUAUCUGAGGACAAUCGAUUAAGUGCAUUUUUUGAAGCAGGGAGAUGGAAUAGGAGCUUGCCAUGUCCACUCCAUGCAUCGCCCCAGUUACGCAGUACUUCCAGGAACGGUGCGCAAAAA